GAGAGCGUCUUGUGGCUGCGGCCUGCCCCUCAGCCUCCUCCGCGCGGUUACCCCUGUACCCGCCGCCAUCCGUCCUGGCGCUCCGGAUGAGUCAAUGAGGGGCAGGGCCCGAGGAGUGGUCUUCCCAAGAACCCCUGGUGGCCUCCCAAGGCCGGUGCUGUGUACCUCCUCCCCGACAAAAGGGGAAACUGAGGCCCCGAGGGGAGUGGGAAGAGCCGGCUGGACGUCAGGCCCAGCCGCUGGUGCAGUGGUCCGUCCCCUCUGCCGGGGUGGGCCCCUCGGGUUUCGCGUGUCCUCGGGAAAGAGACUGGCGGGUGAGCCGCGCCCUCGGCCUUCGCUGGGCUAAGCCGACCCCAUGCAGACGUCAAACCCCCCUAGGUCGGCACAGCCUCUCUGCGGGGAGGCUUAGUGCCCCCUUGAGAAACGGCUUGGCAACGCUGUGCCCGGGGCCUUGCACGCGGGCUGAGGGGGCUAGAGACCUCGCGACUUUUACUCCCCCGACCCCGAUCUCCGACUCCUGACUUUGGAAGCCCCCAAAGCUGCUUUUCGGUUGCCUACAAAGUGUCGGUCAUUGUGCCACGUCCUUGGAACCGUGAACUCAUUUUCUCCUCAAUAACCUUUAAAAAGUAGCUGUAAAACCUCCAUUUUACAGACCAGUUGGCUGAGGUUUAAAUGGAGGACGCUCCCAGGGCCCCAGAGGGGCGAAUUCCAGACUCCUUUGCCAGGACCUUGUACUAAGCCCCUUCCCUACGCUUUUCCCUGCCUAGGCCUCGUGGGCUGUGCGGCUAUCCUGGAGACAGAUGACAGCUCUCCCUUGGAUGGCUUUGCUGGUUCCGCACCAGCCAGCGCCCCCAUUUUUCCUGCAGCACCCUGAUCUGCACUCCCUGAGGGGCUCCCACUGUCCGCGGUGUGAGGAUGUCCCUGGGUAAGUGGUGCUGGUCAUGAGCACUUUGGGGGACCCUUCAAAUUCCCUUCUGGGGGACCCCAGCGGAGGGCAUGGUCAUGAAUUCCGAGAACUGUAUGGCAAAGCCGGGUGCAGAGGAGAGCCUGGCUAAGUUCUUUCAUUCUCCUGAGCUUGACUUUCUGUAAUGUAGGGAAACUGCGAAAGCUCUGUAAGUGGGGAGAUCUUGCACGUUUUUCUUGCUUUUGAACCCAUGAUGUCUGGCUACUUGUAGAUACUCAAUAUUUGUGGGAUGAAUGAACAAUUUAAGCCUUUUUUUUUUUUAACCAGAAAUUGGUCUUCUGUGACUUUCUUGAUGGGGGCAGAUGAGAUCUUUGUACUGCAUUAAGUGGAUAGCGCUCAGGUCCUUUGGGCUUGGCGCUUUGGCAAUCUCCAGGCAGCUCACUUUGGCCUCUGUUCCUGGAUCCCCUUUGCUCUUUUCUGCGCCUGCAUUCGUAAGUGAUCACGGGCUGCCCGUGUCCUGGUCAUUGGUAGUGCAGGCAGAGGAAAUGCGGGAAAGGUUGCUGUGUUUGGAGGGUCCACAUCUUCACCCUCCUGUCCCAGGAGCUUUCCUACACUCCUCCUUCUCAAAGCUGCACACACCUGGGGCCUCCAGGGGAUUGGGGGCUGCCGUGUGUGUUAUAUCAUGAUUAGAGCUUUCACUUCCUGCUCCCUGCUGUUGGGAACCAGGCUGUGUGUGUUGCUUAAAUUCCCCUUGAUGACCAGCAGAGUCACUGCCACUCAGCCAUGGCACACUGCUGUAAACCUGGUUUUGAUCUCCUUUCAAUCUUUUGCUGAUUAACUACACAUUGAUCAGUGUUGGCCACCCUCACCCUGCCAUAGACCAUCCGCUGUCUUCCUCUGUAGAGUUAACUAUUUUCUCUUUUAUGAGGAAAUAGUGUGUUUGCUUAGGAGUGUUUACUGUCUGGUAACUACUGUGCUAAGCCCUUUCCUGUUGCCUGCCAUCCCUGCUGCGAGCAGGGACAAGCUGGGUGCUCACUCAUGGCAUCUUAUCUGUUGCAGAUAGUCCACUGUGUGCAGAGGCAUGGGAGUUGUCAUGUUGGGAACAUGCUAGACCUCAGUAUCCUUGAGGUAAGAUCUCUGGUUCAUUCUCUGGAAUGUUGGUUCCUUGUAUCUAGUACAGUUCUGUACAUGUUCCCAGGGGCUUUGGGGUUGGUGUAGGGGAGCUGAGAGGUGAGAUGAGAAUGGCACUGUGGGUCCCCAGAUCCGCUGUCCACCCAGCCAACCCAGAUCACCUCUGGCCUUUCCUGUGCCUUCCGGGCUUGCUGCUGGGGGGAAACCUCCAGAGUCCCACUUUGGUAAUAAGAGGUCUCUGCCCUUUCUCCCUGGGCAGCAGGAUGUUGUAAUGGAAAAUGAGUGGACCUAGGCUUCAGAGACUCUGGUCCCCUGGCUUUGAAUCCCCUUCUGCCACUAUCCCAGUCAAGGACUGAUUCAGAACCUAAUUUUCUUCAUUUGGAAAAUAAUGUUCUGAUAGAGGUGACUUUUGUGGUACUUGAGACCAUAUGAUUCCUAUCAUUACCAACCAAUAUUUUCCGAUUGUUUUUGCCCCAUGUGACUUCUCUGUGAUUCCUCCUGGCAAGGAAGUUUUACAGGAAAGCAGGGCCACUUUUGGGAUCCUGUGCUGGGCUGGAUCAUUUUCCUGGACUGGACCUAGUCCACAAGCUGCUGGCAUCUGUUUCUCCUCAUGGAUCUCUCUCUGCCCUUGUAUACACCUGCAUUCAAAAAUGAUCACGGGCUGCCUGUGCUCUGGUCAUCAAUAACGCAGGGAGAGGAAUUGCUGAAAGCCGUUUCCCGUGUUUGGAGGGUUCACACCUGUCCCUUUCAAAUGCUGGCGCUUUCACACACUCCUUCUCUCCUGCCAGCACCUUCUGGUCUCAGGAGCAUUGCAGGAUGUUGUGUGAGUGAGUGAUGGGAGACACUUUAGUAUGGCUUUUUUCAGCUUAGCCUCCUGUUAUCAGAGAGCAGUCUCUUUCAGUGUCAAGGUUUGAGUACUAGAUGGUGGAGAAAGCCUGUGUGAAUUAUUUUUAAUGAAUAAGUGUGAUGAUGGGUGGCAUACAGUCACUGCCUUAAGAUUUUCAAAGAGAAGCAGCCUUUUGGAGGUGGUGGGCCUGGGCAGGUCUUUCAAGGAGUGGGAUGUGAUGGGCAGUAGAAAGGUAUUCCAGGGAGGGGUAGCAACAUGAGAAGGUCUUUCAAGGAUUGGGAUGUGAUGGGCAGUAGAAAGGUAUUCCAGGGAGGGGUAGCAGCAUGAGAAGGUCUUUGAGUCUGGGAUGAGCAAGAGUGUCUAGUCCCACCAGGGAGACAGAUGUGUAGGCAAGUAAUGACAGCAUGGAGGGAUGGCUGCUGGGGUGAUCCUUGGCUCCCAGCACGGCGAGGUGGACAUCUAUGGGAGGGGCCCUGAGAGGUCUCUUGAGCUGUCUUUCUGCCAGUUGCACAUCUGCUCAGUUGCCUGUUAAGACUCUUAAGACAGUUUUGCUGGACUCUUAAGUUUUUAUUUUGAUAUUCUUUGGGAGCAUUGAGAUUCCUUUUUGAGAUGAGUUUGGUAUGAAAGAAACUGGCAACUCAUACCUGAUUGAUUAACUGGGGGCAUUCCCAUUGACAUCAGCUUGAAGAAAGACGACAGAACACUGGAGACCAAGUACUUACAGCCUUCUGCUCUGUGGCCCCUCCUCACUCCAGGGAUGCUGCCUUGGGUCUGGAAACUGUUAGAGGAAACCCCAAGAGGUGCAGGCACUGAGCCUCUCAGGACAAUGACCUGGGGUCCCAGCUCCCCUGGAGGGGCCUCCUCAUGAUUGUUUGGGGGUUGAUCACAGACCAAGAGUGACGAGUGAUGUCACCCUGUGACUCAUGGCUGGACCUUCUUGCCCCUAUUGUCUCAGCACAACAUUAUUCGACUUUUCCCUCAGCGUGGGUGGGCAGAGGAAAAGCCCUGUGGCUCUGGGGACUUGGGAUCCAGAGUUGAAGACCCUUCAGCUGGCUCUGCCCUGCCAGUGCCACAGAGUGCCAUGGCCCAGGAAGACAGGUUUUCUUCCAUCUAGGCCAGGCCAUCCAGUGGCCAUCCUCCGUGUCCUCCCGCCUCCUCCUGGUGUGACUUCUGAAAACCAAGAAUUUGUUCCUGUUGACUUUUUCUGUGCUAUGGACCAUUGUCCU
ensembl:lncRNA SNHG11 small nucleolar RNA host gene 11